GACGAACGCUGGCGGCAGGCCUAACACAUGCAAGUCGAGCGUGAAGCUAUCUUCGGAUAGUGGAAAGCGGCGGACGGGUGAGUAACGCGUGGGAACGUGCCCUGUAGUAAGGAAUAGCCUCGGGAAACUGGGAUUAAUACCUUAUACCUCCUCCGGGAGAAAGAUUUAUCGCUACAGGAUCGGCCCGCGUUAGAUUAGAUUGUUGGUGAGGUAACGGCUCACCAAGUCUACGAUCUAUAGCUGGUCUGAGAGGAUGAUCAGCCACACUGGAACUGAGACACGGUCCAGACUCCUACGGGAGGCAGCAGUGGGGAAUAUUGGGCAAUGGAGGCAACUCUGACCCAGCCAUGCCGCGUGAGUGAAGAAGGCCCUAGGGUUGUAAAGCUCUUUCAGUUGCGAAGAUGAUGACUGUAACAACAGAAGAAGGUCCGGCUAACUUCG
rnacentral:rRNA from 1 species